AUUCUACUCCCUCCGUUGCACAAUACAUGCCUUCUAUUUGUCAAAAUAUAUAUGUAUCUAGACAUGUUUUAGUAUAUAGGUACAUCCAUUUUUGGACAAAUGGAAGUCAAGUAUUUUGGACGGAGGGAGUACACA
rfam:Triticum aestivum genome assembly, contig: Triticum_aestivum_CS42_TGACv1_scaffold_581864_7BL